rnacentral:lncRNA from 1 species
CGUGUUUUCUCUACCCAUCUCUCAAGUUUUUCAUGAUUUCUACCCUUGUGUUUGAAGAUUUAAAGCUUAAAAGGAGUUUUGGGAGCUUGGAGCUUUUGGAGCUUGGAUUCUCCACACCUCCGAGUUAGGGGUCACACCACCCUCGAUCUUCAAGAGGUAAGUGUAGAUCCUUGUUUCCCUAGUGUUUUCAUGAAGUUUUAUGAAGUUUUUGAUGGUUGAGUAUGGGUAGAUAUGCAUGUUUAGGUUUAUGUGGGUUUUAUACCCAAUGUAUGUUAUGUGAUGUUUGUGUUGAGGAGUUUAUGUUAGUUUAUGCUCCUUUAUGCUUGUGGGAGUGAGUAUGCAUGAUUGGGAGAGAGUAUGUGAGGAUUUGGG